rnacentral:rRNA from 1 species
GACGAACGCUGGCGGCGUGGAUUAGGCAUGCAAGUCGAACGGUAUCAUCCUUUCGGGGAUGAGAGAGUGGCGAACGGGUGAGUAACACGUAGGUGAUCUACCCUCAAGACGGGGACAACCCAGGGAAACUUGGGCUAAUACCGGAUGUGAGCUAUCGCGAGAUAGUUUGAAAGGUGGCUUCGGCUGCCGCUUGAGGAUGAGCCUGCGUCCUAUUAGCUAGUUGGUGAGGUAACGGCUCACCGAGGCGAUGAUAGGUAGGCGGCCUUAACGGGUGGUCGCCCACACUGGGAUUGAGAUACGGCCCAGACUCCUACGGGAGGCAGCAGUCGAGAAUAGUCUACAAUGGUCGAAAGACUGAUAGUGCGACGCCGCGUGAACGAAGAAGCCCUUCGGGUGUAAAGUUCUUUUAUAUGUGAGCAGUGACAUCUAUAUUAAUAGUAUGGGUGUAGAGAUAUUAGCAUAUGAAUAAGCAACGGCUAACUCCGUG